UACGUAGGGUGCAAGCGUUGUCCGGAAUUAUUGGGCGUAAAGAGCUCGUAGGCGGUUUGUCGCGUCGAAUGUGAAAACACGGGGCUUAACCCCGUGCCUGCUUCCGAUACGGGCAGACUAGAGGUAUGCAGGGGAGAACGGAAUUCCUGGUGUAGCGGUGAAAUGCGCAGAUAUCAGGAGGAACACCGGUGGCGAAGGCAGCUCGCUGGGACGGUACUGACGCUGAGGCGCGAAAGCGUGGGGAGCAAACAGG
rnacentral:rRNA from 1 species